rnacentral:rRNA from 1 species
AGUGAACGCUGGCGGUAGGCCUAACACAUGCAAGUCGAACGGCAGCACAGUAAGUUCUUGCUCUUACGGUUGGCGAGUGUCGGACGGUUGAGGAAUACAUCGUAAUCUACUUUUUCGUGGGUGAUAACGUAGGGAAACUUACUCUAAUACCGCAUACUACCUACGGGUGAAAUCAUUGGAUCUUCUGACCUUUCGCGAUUGUAUUAGCCGAUGUCGGAUUAGCUAGUUGGCGGGGUAAAGGCCCACCAAGGCGACGAUCCGUAGCUGGUCUGAGAGGAUGAUCAGAGAAACUGGAACUGAGACACGGUCAAGAGUACUACGGGAGGAAGCAGUGGGGAAUAUUGGACAAUGGGGGCAAGCAUGAUACAGCAAGACCGCGUGGGUGAAGAAGGAGUUAGGGUUGUAAAGACAUUUUGUUGGGAAAGAAAAGAAGCAGGUUAAAAAAAAGAUGUAAUGACGGUACCAAAAGAAUAAGCACCGGCUAACUUCGUG